rnacentral:rRNA from 1 species
ACGCACGCUGGCGGCAUGCCUAACACCUGCCAGUCGCACGCGACCUUCGGGUCUAGUGGCGCACGGGUGCGUAACGCGUGGGAACCUGCCCUUAGGUUCGGAAUAACUCCCCGAAAGGGGUGCUAAUACCGGAUAAUGUCUUCGGACCAAAGAUUUAUCGCCUUUGGAUGGGCCCGCGUUGGAUUAGCUAGUUGGUAGGGUAAAAGCCUACCAAGGCGACGAUCCAUAGCUGGUCUGAGAGGAUGAUCAGCCACACUGGGACUGAGACACGGCCCAGACUCCUACGGGAGGCAGCAGUGGGGAAUAUUGGACAAUGGGCGAAAGCCUGAUCCAGCAAUGCCGCGUGUGUGAUGAAGGCCUUAGGGUUGUAAAGCUCUUUUACCCGGGAUGAUAAUGACAGUACCGGGAGAAUAAGCUCCGGCUAACUCCGUG